AGAUCCUGUCUCAAAAAAAGAAGGCUGUUGUGAAGUAUCCCAAGGGAUUCCUUAUUAACAGAGUUAUAUCCCUGUCACUUUUAGGGGGGGGGGUCUCAGUCCUGCUGGGCCUGUGGGACAGUGUGUGCGGAGGACACACGACCUACCUGGAUGCCGGUCACAGGUGUCUGUGGGAGCAUUUGCCUUCUCACCUGCAAGAAGGUCGGGAGCAGCAGUCAGGGGUCAGUUGUUCUGUGGGGACCCACCUCCCCACUCCCGGAGCCAGUGGGAACGAUGUCACAGCUCCAGGCCACAGCUGGACACACUGUCCGCACUGACGAGGAGCCAGUCUGGAGAAGCGCGUCAUGGGUGACAUGAGGAAAUUACUGCGGGAAAAGGAGCAAGACGUGGGACCCGCUGGUGGCCUGUUGGGGCCAUUCUGCUCAGUUCUGGCAGUGGAUGUUGUUGGUGACUCGGGAGUCUCUGUUCCUUGCCUUUUCUGGCAACUUGCCCUCUCCAUCUCUGUCUUCCAGAUGCUUCUUAUCCUAUUGCUUUGCCCCUGUCUUUCCUACCACAUGGUUCUUCGAAGGUAAGGCAGACUAGUGGUCAAGCACACUGGCUCCCAGGCAGAGUGCUGGGCUCAUGGUCCCACUCCCACUCUCACUCACUGCCUGCAUUGCACGGCUUGGGUGCACAGCUUGCUGUUUGCCAGUAUUCUCAUUGUAAGUGAGUGAAUACCUCACAGUGUCAUUAGCAAUUAUGUGAGUACGACCAAUGCUCUUGGAAUGAGCACUCAGAAGACGUGGUUAAUACCUACUCUGCCCGGCUUCUGGUCACGCCACCUUUGGCCAACAAUGCCCCAGCACCCACCAAAUUCAAGAGAGUUCCUCCCCUGGGCACGGUGUCCCCAGCCCACCCUUUUCAUUGAGGUUUGGUUCUCACUCUGCAACUGCAGGUCUUAGCUGGGUGACCAUGGGCAAGUCACUUCACUUCUCUGGGCCUUGCUUCUUAGCUGUUCAGCUGACAUAGAACCAGGUUACUUGCAGGGUGUCUUGUGUGCUGACAUGCUGGGGUCUCUCAUGUCCAGUGUGGGUCAGCCUUUCCUUCUCUUCUUCAGCUUCUUCCAGCCCGGCAUGGCAACCUGGACAUCACCCAUGUACUUGUUCAUGGACAUGCACUGUAUGCGUGUUUGCUUCUCUGGAUAUCUUGGAACCAGAUAUCCCCACUUCACGAAAGCAGGGAUCAAGGCUUUCAUAUUUGACAUUAUUUCUGGCUCCUAGCACUGUGCCAGAACUAGCAUGUGAGCUCUCAAUAUGUAGCUGUGCUUAAUCUCUCAUUAUUCAGUCAACAUGUACUCAGUACCUGUUGAGUUCCCAAGCAUGGUGCAGAACAUGCACAGGCUUUAGGAGGCUGGCAGAACCCUGAUGUCAGUGUGUCUAAAGCGUGGCUCUAAGCCAUGUACUUUGCAAAGCUUAAGCAGGGCCCUGUUGCAUAAUGCAGGUGAAGGUGCCUGGUGAUAGAAGGUUCAUUCUGUGUCGGCCGCUUGUCUCCUCCUUGUGUAACUGCCCAGCACCUUGCAGAGGAGAUCAAACCCUCAGUAAUAUCAGUGAGCUGGGCUCGGUUUGGUUUGCAUCUCCCAAGCCUAGCUUGUGGGAGUCACAACAGCAGCACUGCACUGUCGAGGGUGACCUUGGCUGUUUGCUUGUGUUGUGAGGCUACUGUGUGCUGAGCACGUUACAUAUGCAGUGUCUCAUCCACAGAUGCACUGGAGGACAAGCGUUUUUAUUCCUUGUGUUCAUUAAACAGAUGAGUAGACACUUUCAAGGAGCUAAGGGUAUGUGCCCAAGGCCACACGGCCAUAAGUGCAGCCUGGGGACUCACACCCUAGUGGAUCUGGCUACCUCCAGAAUGAGGAGUCAGGUGAGGGCGAGGGGGCAGGAGCUGGAGAGCUUGGGCAUUCUGCACCAGCUUGUCCCUGCAUUCCAGCAGAACAUAGGGACGAAAUGAAACGGAGCAAAAAUAGAGUCUGUCCUCGAGUGACAGCAGCCGCCUCCUCUGGGAGCAGCUCUCCUUAACUGAUCUUCCCAGGCGAGGCAAGCCCCAGCGCUCCAGGUAGCACAGAGAAGUAAUGUGCACACGGCCAGGGAAAUUGCUGCCUCUCGCUUCCUCAGGAGAACAUAAAGGAGACACCUUCUUUGUGAUAUCAGUUUCAAAGCAAUCUUACCUCACAAACCUGAAAGAAAGAGAGAUCGAAGCAAGCUAAGAUUCCGAGAGCUUUCAAGACUCGAUUGCUGCCGCACAGAGCUGCUCGCUCAUCUCCGGCAGCCAGGACUGCCAGGUUGCAGAGGUGUGACAGCCCACAUCUGCUGACUCUCGCUGGUACUACAAUUAACGUGGCUGCUCGCUCUUUCAAGAGACGGAAAGAAAGGGAAACGCACACCCGCGCACACGCACAGAGUCAGGGAGACCUAGAGGCAGACACAGGGUGACACAGCCAUGCACGCUGGGGGACGCACUCUGCGCCCCAUCACAAAUGGUGCUCCUCUCACAACUUGGUGCCAGGGACCGCCUUCCCUCGCUUUCUGUAUUCUGCAUCUUUGGCCUCAUUUACCAGCUGUGCCGACCUGGAUGCUUUAGGUCUUCCCAUAACCAAAGCGUCCUCUGCCCAUUCCGUAUUCAGGGGGGCCUGAUGUACAAAGAUGCUCUCCCAGUGUGGGGCAGGAAAUAGAGGUAACCUGUUCUUCAUUUUUCUUCCAAAUGUUCACUGCAGGGGGCUCAGCUGGUGGAAAUACUUGGUAGGGGAGGGUGGAGAAGGAAAUGACAAAUGUGGGCCUGACUGCCCUGGAGGCAGAGAGGAGAGGGACUCAGAAAGAGAGUGGGGCUGGGGGCCAUGUUUUCCUGAGGGGCAAUUUCGAGUCACUGGGCCAUAGCAUGCUUAUUUGCAAAGUCUUCCCCUCCCCGUCCUCCGGGGCAGGGUCAGCUGCGAGGCAGUGGGCCGUGAGGAUGCAGUGAAACAGGGAAACCCAGAAGCUACUGAUUCCCAAGGCUCAAGGGGGUGUUCCGAUGUCUCCAACAUUCCAGCAAAUAUACUUUCACAGGAGAGACCUGAAAAAUGUGAACUCCCAUUUGAUAGAAGUAAUGUACAUAAUGAAAAAUGCACAAAUCAUAUGCGUAUAGAUAGCUUGAUAAAACGUUUUCCGAUUGAAUGUGUGCGUGGAGCCAGCACCUGAUAAAUAGAGCAUUUCCAGCAUUUCGGAAGCCUCCUCCCAACCCCUUCCAGUUGCUGUCAUGGGAUAACUUUGUCCUGACUUCUAACCAGAUAGAUUAGUUUAACCUGUUUAUGUACUUAAUAUAAAUAUUAAUAAUAUCAUAACACACUCCCUGUGUCUGGCUUCUUUCAUCCAAGGUUAUGUUUGUGAGAUGUGUUCAUAUGUUGUGUGCAUGUGUUGACCAUUCCUGCUCAUUAGGUUGAGUGUGUAUUUGAAGAAUCCAUCCUACCCUUGAGGGGCAUUUGAGUAGUUAUAUUGUGCUGCUGUGACAUUCUUAGACAUGUCUCUUGGUGAGCAUAUUCACAUGUGCCUUGCAUUUAGCCUGAGGAGUGGAAUCAUAGGAUAUGUGUAUAUUCAGCAUUAGUGGAUUGUGCAAAAUGGUUUCCCAAAGUGGUCGUUUGUCCUUCUUCGGAAUGUCUGUCCACCAGCACAUGUGAGUUUUGGUUCCACAUUGAAGCUCAUCCUUGGCAUUGUCUUUUUCAGUUUAGCCAAUUCAUUAGAGAAAGAACAAAUGACUUAAAAGGAAUCUCAUAGCAAGCAGGCAGAAGAGAAGAAGAACAUGCCCCUCCCCCCCUGCAGAGAGAAGUGUUCUGAUCUGGGGACACUAGAAGUCCUGCAGGGUGCACCGUGCCCUGUACCGUGCAUUCUUGCAGGCGCGGGGCCUGGUGGGGCUUCCCUCUUCUGUGAGCAUCAGCACAGCCCUGCCAGUGGUCAGGGAUCACACCUGGCUGCAGUAAUACCCAACAGACCAUGUAAUAAUUCUUCCUCAGGUGACAGAACUUUAAUGGACCUGACCCCAACAAAACAAACUUCGCUUCAGACUUGCCUGUGGGCCUCGGUAAAUAGUUAACAGACUGUAUCCCCCAUUCUCUCCCCUGCCAUUAGCCGAGGCUGGUACCGUAACUCACAGCUCCCCUUCCUGCCGUGAGCAGCACCUCUCACGGCCUGCUUCCCUGCAUGGCAGCUCUUGGUCAUGGCUUGUAGGAGCUGAGGAUGGAAAAGAAGGGAGUGUAGGCAGUACUGGGGUGACUGCCCUUGACAAAUGAAGGGACGAUUGUUCAUUUAACGUGAGAAUGAUAGAUCCAUUGAGCUCUUGAUAUGUGCCCAGCAAUGUGCCAAAUGCUUUCUGUUGAUCAUUUCAUGUCAUCCUGUCUUAGUCCAUUUGGGCUGUCUUAGUCCAAAAUGUCUUAGCUUGGUUGUUUAUAAACAACGUAAAUUUAUUUCUCAUGUUUCCAGAAGCUGGAAAGUCCAAGAUCAAGGCUCAAGCAGAUUUGAUGUCUGGUGAAGGCCUGUUUCCUGGCUCACUGAUGGCACCUUCUUGCUGCGUCCUCAUGUACCGGAAGGGGCAAACAAGGCUUGAUCUCUUGACCAGAGGAGAGUAAAAUGAUGCCUCUUGCGAUGGCCAUGCCUGUCAGUUACAUGGAGCUUCAUUCAAGGAUUUUCCGAGCCUGCUGGAUUUACAGUGAUAUUUGGCCGUCUGGGGGAUUAACGCUGGUGGAAGCAUGCACUGGAAUUACACAUGCCCAGCACACUUCAGGAUGCUGACAGUGGUUUUGCGGAAGGCCCUGGCUGAGUGCCUCGUGGAUUCUUACAGCCUGAUGCUCGUGGGGGACAGAGGUCCGCAGCCACCUGCGAGGGCUGAAGGUCUCUGACUAGGUCUCUGCCAGCUCCCUUUGGGGCAUCCUACGAAUCCCAGAUAGAGGGGACAAAGGCUGCCUAAUACAACGUGUCUUCUUCCCAGUGGAAUUCCAACUGCAGAAGGUACACACAUAAAGGCAAAGCAUGACCAAAGCAGGAUGACUGCAGGACUUUGGAGAAAAUACCCAUGAAAUUUCAAAUAGUGUGAUCUGAAUAACUCUUAUUACUAGCACGUAGACUAUAAACAUAUGCAAGAAGAAAACAAAAAAAAAGAAACAUUUGCUUUUGUCAUUCCUUGGCAAGAACCCUAGAAAAAACUUGCCUUUGGGGUCAAGCUGACCCUCCUGCUCUUAGUUUCCUUGUCAGCCUCAGAAUGUCCUUUGAGAAUCAUUCUUGGAGGUGAGAGAGGACUGACCAUACUUUACCUAGAGCAGGCAGUUUUGGAUGAAAUCAUGCCCAGCUGUGGCUGUGACCCGCUGUGACUUAUACUCAAAUCCUGUUACACCUGGGAUUUAGGUCCUUUUAAUCUGAAAAAAAAAAUACAUACUCCUUCAGCAUUCCAGAAGGAUUUGAGAACAAUCCUUCCCUGAACUAAAGCUGGAAUACUGUGGGAUUGGAGAAUUAAGAUUGUCUUUGGUUUUGGUGCUGUUACAAAGGAGAGAGCAUCAAUUCUUCUACAUGCUCCUCACACUGCAGGUUCUGGGAGGGAGACAAAGACAAGUCAUAGCAUCUACCACCCUCAAGACACUCACAAUCGAAUAAGCUACCCAGGUGACAUGGCGUGCUUACCUGGCUAGAAAGUGAAGACUUUUCACAUCGGAGCUCCAUGCUGUGGGAGUUUGAAGUGCAGAGGGUCUAAUGUUCCACUCCAGGUCACAUCCCAAUUCUGAAAGCUCAGCUCUGAUCAUGUCCCUGGACAGCUCAGAAGCAGCCAGCAGCUCCCUGUCACCUGCAGGCUUGAAGUCAGACCUCUCAGCAAGGCAUUUACGUCCCACCUGAGCAUCGCUCCAGCUUGUGAAUCCAGCCCGAUCCAUCACCUUUAAAUGUCUCAAGUGGGAAAUAGGUCCUGGAGACUAUGAUGCUCUGGACUCCGGAGAUAGCCCCAGCAGUAGCACCGACGCAGGGAGAAUUGAAUACUUUCUCCGAGAGGAUAGAAGACACAUGAAACUGGAAAAAGGAGCCCUGGAAAUUGCCACAUUUCCCCCAUAUGGGAGAGCACAUCCCCCUCCCCCUCUUGUCCCCUUUCUCCCUUACUGCGUAAUAAAUACAUAAUACAUUUCACCAGUGAUUUGGCCACUGCUGAGCCAUCUUCAUUUAAUGUGGUUUUGACAGAAUAGUCGGUCUGGAAAUUUUAUUUUCAAUUAAACUUACUUGUAGAACUGCGUUGGUUUUGAAAAGAUUCCAUUAGGGUGGCUAAUUAUACAGCAGUUGCUACAAGGAGAUAUUCGUACUCCAUUUCGGCUCUUAGGUAAUUCAAAUCGAAUGCUUCAGCUUUUCCUCCCUGGAGCUCUGUGCGACCAUCUUCUCCUCACACUGCAGGCUUCCCAUGAGUUAUUUUUAGAAACCCAAAUCAAAACAGCAGUUUUUGGCAGAGGCCAUUUCUAGCCUAGUAGAGUGAACCAUAUGUACUGAUAAAAGCAGCAUAAGAAUCAGUGCCUUUAAAAAGCAAGAAAACCAUAUCUCUCUGUGUGUGAGGGGGGUUUAAAUGUUUGUAAACUACAAACUAUCCUUUGCACUAUUGUAUUCAUUUGUGAACUUCCACUGAAGUCAAACACAAUGGAUAUUCCUUUAAAAUUACAAAAGUUUUGUCCAUUGCAAUAGUUUAUUGUCAUAAUCAUUUUGUCUCAACAUGGCAGGCCUUGGCAGAAUUGACUGGGAACUCUGUUUUGGAUCUCCUGUGAAAUAUGGUGAUUCCUUUACUUAUUUUCCUACUCUACUAUGUUUUCUUCUUUUAUCUGUGUACUAGUGGCAUGCCUCAUUAUGCUCACCAAGAGGUAAACCUCUCCUCCCCUUGCAUUAGAACAUAAUGCUUGUGAGCAGGGCUAGAUUUUUCACCCUCUUUCAUAAUAGAUGCUCAAAUAGUGCCUGAAUAGAUAGAGAGGAAUCAUUACAAUCCUAUUGCUAUUUUCUCUUUAAAAAUGAACACAUUACCACACUAGAAAAAAUAUUUUUUUUUCC